rnacentral:lncRNA from 1 species
CCUUUUAUUUUUCAUUAAUUACAUUGUCUACCUCCCUUCUCUCCCGUAACCUCCCUCUGUUCUACCACAAACCCAGUAACCCAAUCCCUUCUUUCCCGUAACCUCCCUCUUCAUCCACCACAAACCCAGUAACCCAAUCCCAGCAAACCCAUCCGACGACGACGACGUCACCACCGUCACCAGCAAACCCCUCUUCUUCUCCGGCGUUGUCACCACCGUCACCAGCAAACCCUCUUCUUCUCCGGCGCCGUCACCAUGGAGCCGUCACCAGCAACCCCUCUUCUUCUCCGGCGCCGUCACCAUAGCCAGGCCGACGACGACGACGACGCUGCACGGAGGAUGAUGACGACGCUGCAGGGAAGACGAUGACGACGCUGCAGGCCGACGACGAUGACGACGCUGUAGGCCGACGACGACGACGACGCUGCACGGAGGAUGAUGACGACGCUGCAGGGAAGACGAUGACGACGCUGCAGGGAGGACGAUGACGAAGCUGCAGAAAUUGAUUGAAAUGAAUUUUGGGAUUUUUCUGUGUUUGAUUUUGGGAUUUUUCUGUGUUUGAUUUUGGGAUUUUUCUGUUUUUUUUUUCUUCUUGUAAUUGUUUGCUGGUGACGAGAUCUGAAAUUGAUUGGAGGGUUUGCUGGUGACGAGAUCUGAAACUGGAUUGGUUGCCGAGAAAACGAAGGAAAACGAAAACUGGGGUCUGAUUGUUUGAGUUCAUACUCGCACUCAGCAAUUGUACAAACAAGGCUAAGUUAGUCAUUUAACACGAAAUCCAAACCGUUCCGUCCUACGCGUACCAAACAUAACACGAACCUCCGUUU